GUGCUGGGGGUAUUGUGUAUGACUAUUUAAAAAAAUGGUUGGGCAAAUUUGCCAUGAAUCUAGGUAUUUACAAUUCUUGAAAAUCUCACUCCACGCUUAUGUAUAUCUCUGCAACUCAUACAAGACCAUCUAGCACAUCCAUUUCACAACUGUCACACAAAUAGCAAAGGAAAAAAAAAUUGCCAAACUUGGAGCCACAUAUGACUACAAAGGAACCGUUUAAUGAAGAGUCGUCACAAAUCCACAGAUCAGUUGACAAACUGAAGUUCAUAAUUCAUGGCAGCUUUCCGUCUCUCCCGAACUUCUCGGAAGCUCCAUCCUCAUUUCUCGUCGCUCGGUCUCUGUCAGUCCAUCUUCCAUUCAUUGCUCUCCUCACCCGUUGUGACUUCAGACACUAACCCUAAUCACUGCAUCCCCGUUCCCUCCACGUUCAGGCACUCGCAGUCCUGGGACGUCCUCGAUUCCGAAUUAUCCCUGAAAACCGUCAAGUCUUCGUGGGAAAAAUUAGUUUCCACUCACUGCAGGAGUUCCAUAUAUUUUGGUCAAUAUGCCGGCAUUUCUACAUCGUCUGGUGUAGCGGACGAGGGAUCGAAGAACGCGGAGAAUUCAGGGGGCGGAGAUGUUGGCGAUGAAUCGAAGAAGAAGAAGAAGAUUGGUGUGUCUUGGAUUGAUUUGCAUCUACCCGAGCUUGCUCGGCCAUAUGCUCGCCUUGCUCGCUUGGAUAAGCCGAUAGGCACUUGGUUACUCGCUUGGCCAUGCAUGUGGUCUAUUACCUUGGCAGCAUCUCCUGGAAAUCUUCCUGACAUUAAGAUGUUGACAUUGUUUGGUUGUGGGGCUUUGCUCUUAAGAGGUGCUGGAUGCACCAUAAAUGACCUCCUUGACCGGGAUAUUGAUACGAAGGUGGAACGAACAAAACUGAGACCCGUGGCAAGUGGCCUUUUGACACCAUUUCAAGGGGUUUGUUUUCUUGGGUUUCAGUUGCUUUUGGGUCUUGGGAUUCUUCUUCAACUGAACAACUAUAGCCGCAUUUUAGGAGCUUCAUCCUUGCUGCUAGUCUUCUCCUAUCCCCUCAUGAAGAGGCUGACAUUUUGGCCUCAAGCCUAUUUAGGUUUGACCUUUAACUGGGGAGCUUUAUUGGGAUGGACUGCUGUUAAAGGAAGCUUGGAUCCUGCCAUUGUGUUCCCGCUAUACAUGUCUGGAGUGUUUUGGACUCUUGUGUAUGAUACAAUUUAUGCACAUCAGGAUAAGGAAGAUGAUUUGAAAGUGGGGGUCAAAUCUACAGCCUUGAGGUUUGGGGACUCAACAAAGAAGUGGGUUACUGGGUUUGCAGUUGCAUGCAUUAGUAGUCUUGCGCUAUGUGGAUUCAAUGCUGAUAUCGAAUGGCCAUAUUAUGUGUUUUUAGCAGCUGCAUCGGGACAUUUAGCGUGGCAGAUUUGCACAGCUGACCUAUCAUGCCGUGCUGAUUGCAAUAGGAAGUUUGUGUCCAAUAAGUGGUUUGGUGCUAUUAUUUUUGGUGGGUUCUUACUUGGAAGGCUCUCCUCAUAGCAGUAUAGUUACUUUUCAGUACAAAGGCAUUCUUACUGUGGAGGUAUCAGUCUUGGGCUGGAUUGAAGCAUAGAUAAUUUAUCGCGGUUGCAUGUUGAAUAUGUGAGGGAAGAAGCAUUGCACGUCAAAUAAAUGCCAAGUGGGUUUUGAGUAUGAGAGGUCUCCUGGUGCACAAUAUCUUUCAGGGGACAUGAUUUCAUUGUUGAUCCCCCACAGGGCACAGCUGUAAUUGACUUUAAAAAAAUAUACAGAUGUAGAUGUUGGAAGCUGAUUAGAUGUGUCUAAAUUAAAUUGGGAGUUGGAAGGUAGUUUCAGUUGAAAGGCUCAUUAGUAUUUUGUGGAUUGGUACUAUUAUUUGUUUACAGGAUAGAUGCAAAUAUAAAAAUAUUUUGGGAGAUCAUUGCUGUUGUAAGAUCCUUUGGCGAUGCUCAAAUUCUCCUUUUUAUUCUUCCCUUUUCCCUUUGAAAGGGGCUGGGUUGAUGGUUGUAGGGCUACUCAUGGAUCAUGUAUGUGGAUGGAAACUUCAUGUAGAAUUCCACAUACUCUUUACCUCUCUCUUACCAGAAAGAGUUCCGCCUAUUUAUAUUCAGGCUUAAUGGACGACAUUGUUGGAUGUGGCGGCGGCGGCACGGACACUCUUUUCUUGACAUGAAAUACAAUCUGGAAGAGGAAAUGUAAAGUCAUUGUGAAAUGUGUGAUAUCAUUUGAGUGAGCAUCAAACUUGACAUUUAUAAGAUUGCCCUAUGUUUGGUUCACAGAAUAUUCAUAUUAUACAUUGUAUAUUCUUUUCUUUCAAACACUUUAAUUUUAAGAUAAUGGGAGCUGCAAUCAAUUGGUAAA